rnacentral:rRNA from 1 species
AUAUUGGACAAUGGGGGAAACCCUUAUCCAGCCAUGCCGCGUGUGUGAAGAAGGUCUUCGGUUUGUAAAGCACUUUAAGUUGGGAGGAAGGGCGUCAAGCUAAUACCUUUAUGUUUUGACGUUACCAACAGAAUAAGCACCGGCUAACUUUGUGCCAGCAGCCGCGGUAAUACAGAGGGUGCAAGCGUUAAUCGGAAUUACUGGGCGUAAAGCGCGCGUAGGUGGUUCAGUAAGAUGGGUGUGAAAUCCCCGGGCUCAACCUGGGAACUGCUUUCAAAACGGGCAAGCUAGAGUAUGGCAGAGGGUGGUGGAAUUUCCUGUGUAGCGGUGAAAUGCGUAGAUAUAGGAAGGAACACCAGUGGCGAAGGCGACUACCUGGACUGAUACUGACACUGAGGUGCGAAAGCGUGGGGAGCAAAC